rnacentral:ncRNA from 2 species
AUGACGAAACAGGGGUGCUUCGGCACGCGUCUCCCGACUAACCAGAACGGAGAAUGCGCGGCGAGGCUGAGAGAGUCCCUUUGCACCCGAUCCGGGUAAUACCGGCGAGGGAAGUUUCCGGAGACCGCCG